rfam:Pristionchus pacificus strain PS312 contig1838, whole genome shotgun sequence.
UCUUCAUUUUACGUGCUCUCUCACCGGUCAGAGCAGCGAGAGAGUGUGCGAAAUGAAGAGA